UGCAGUUUGUUGUCUGUACUGUGAGGAAGGGGGAGUCAGUGCUGUGAGGAGAUGACCAUGAGAAAUCACCAAGAAGAUGCCCAUCCUAUCCUUCUCUGUGUCUGGAGACUUACCCAGGCCUCAGCCUGUGGUCCAUGGCUGGUCUCCCUCCAAGAGGUCAGCCAAAGGCAACUGCCAGAAGUGACACUGGUGUGGGAAGGUUAAAUCUGUGAGACUGGAAACCAAAACCAAACCCCUGGGCACACAGAAGCACCUUGAAAAUCAAAACAGCUUGAUCACUGCUGCUGCAAAUGGAAAUAACCACUCAGCUUGAUGGCUGCUGUUCCAGAGGACAAACAAUCUCGCGCGAAAAACCCCCCAAACCCUACAGAGUGUGGUACUCGCUGUCAGUCACCUGUGAUUUCCUUUGUUGGCAAUCUAAAAAGAUAACAGCAGAGAAGCCUCAGCCCAGCAACUGUUCCCAAGCAAAGGACCCUGAGAAAGCUGGCUGAUGGGAGGAGGUUUGUUGUGACUAAUGCAAACUGAUAGUCCUUGCAAGGGGAUGGCAGCGCCUGGGGGCCCUUCGCCUCCUGUUGUUUCACGGCAGCCUGUGGAAAGCAGCCUGGGUCAGGAGGAGCUCUGAGUAUUCCCUCUCUGGAAGAGAAAAUGUGUGCUGGCACUAAUGAGCGUGGAAAAAUUCUGUGAUAGAGUUCCUGCAUAUUUCAAAGGCAUAAAUCAGGCUUGAAAAUAAUGCUUUCUGGUUUUUUUCCCUUUUGAAAUUAAGGAAGUUAAAUAACAAAUGUGCAGACAGAAGAGAUAUGUAUUAGGACAUGUAGGGAGCUUUAAGUGACACUGCUUGCUAGAAGGGGCUGAAAUAGGGGAAACUUCCCUCUUGUUCAAUGUGUUGUAUUUUUAAAGGUGGUUAUUUAUUUAUCAGCCGCUGCUGUAUUUCCCUAGCUUUUCCUCUGACUGGCCCUUGAUAUUCCUGCUGACACAUUUUUUCUCUCCCUUUAUACUGUUUCU